AAAUAAGCAAACCCAACAGAAAAUGUCAAACUAGUAGAUGUGACACCGACAAUUUCAAGUAGUGGUAACCGAUAUCUAUUUGUUUUGUAUGUGCUAUCACAUAUCAAAACAAAAUGAAACGUGUUUAACAACUUUAUACAAUCAGUAUGCGUCCAAAAUAUAUCUCUCAAAACAUCAGAAUUAUCCCGUCUUCUUGUCCAAUACACAUAAUUUUCUUGUUGUAUUAACUUCAACAGAUGCUGCAUUUUUGUGUACGAACCUCUC
rnacentral:lncRNA from 1 species